rnacentral:rRNA from 1 species
CACUCCUGCGGGAGGCAGCAGUGGGGAAUAUUGGACAAUGGGCGCAAGCCUGAUCCAGCCAUGCCGCGUGAGUGAUGAAGGCCCUAGGGUUGUAAAGCUCUUUCACCGGUGAAGAUAAUGACGGUAACCGGAGAAGAAGCCCCGGCUAACUUCGUGCCAGCAGCCGCGGUAAUACGAAGGGGGCUAGUGUUGUUCGGAUUUACUGGGCGUAAAGCGCACGUAGGCGGACUAUUAAGUCAGGGGUGAAAUCCCGGGGCUCAACCCCGGAACUGCCUUUGAUACUGGUAGUCUUGAGUUCGAGAGAGGUGAGUGGAAUUCCGAGUGUAGAGGUGAAAUUCGUAGAUAUUCGGAGGAACACCAGUGGCGAAGGCGGCUCACUGGCUCGAUACUGACGCUGAGGUGCGAAAGCGUGGGGAGCAAACAGGAUUAGAAACCCCGGUAGUCCCAUGA